GCAACUUAAAGUUAUUCUGGAAGUUAAACAUGCACGAAAAGUUAGUGUUCAAGAAAAGAAUAUGACUGUUUUGACGUAAUCCAAACUUCUUAGAAGUAUUGCAAGGACUGCACCUACUCAACAUCAGGCUCUAUAAAAUUUUUCAUUGCUGUAAUAAAUGGUAAAUGCACAGAAAACUCUCGCUCCUUCCAGAUUCAGUUAGAGAUAAUAUAAGUGACACUGAAACAAGUAAUACACUUUCGCUAGUCAAGUUGACCAGGAGCGGUUUACUUCUCUUCGGCUUUCCUAAGGGGGAGGACCCUGCCGUUGUUGAUAUUGUGCAAAACAUCAUUCCAUUGCAGGAAAGUGGGAGUCUAAAGUCAGCACAAUGGUGCCACCGUAUAUUCCCUAUCCAAGCCACUUGUAGGUUAGAUGAGAAGGAAGUACACUCUAUCGUGUGAAAGCUAGUCAAUCAGUUUCCGAAAGAUAAAAAGAACAAAGUUGCACAGCCAGUAAAGUUUGCAGUUGGGUACAAUAGAAGAGGAAUUGAGGAAACUCAGAUGAAGGAUGUGAGAGUAACUUCAAAUGGUUCCAAAAUAUCUGUUCUCUUACCGUGGCAAAUGUUUUAGGAUUGUGGCAGCUGCUGUUAAAGAUGAUGUUCCAGAUUCAAUUGUAGAUCUGAAGUGC